UACGGAGGGAGCUAGCGUUGUUCGGAAUUACUGGGCGUAAAGAGCUCGUAGGUGGUUUGUCGCGUUGUUCGUGAAAACUCACAGCUCAACUGUGGGCGUGCGGGCGAUACGGGCAGACUUGAGCACUGCAGGGGAGACUGGAAUUCCUGGUGUAGCGGUGGAAUGCGCAGAUAUCAGGAGGAACACCGGUGGCGAAGGCGGGUCUCUGGGCAGUACUGACGCUGAGGAGCGAAAGCGUGGGGAGCGAACAGG
rnacentral:rRNA from 1 species